UAACGAAUCUUCCGCAAUGCACGAAAGUGUGACGGAGCGACGCCGCGUGUAGGACGAAGCCCUUCGGGGUGUAAACUACUGUCAUGGGAAAGAAAGUUCUGAUCUACCCAAGAGGAAGGGACGGCUAACUCUGUGCCAGCAGCCGCGGUAAGACAGAGGUCCCGAGCGUUAGGCGGAAUCACUGGGCUUAAAGCGUGUGUAGGCGGACUUAUAAGUACUUUGUGAAAUCCCACGGCUUAACCGUGGAACUGCUUGGUAUACUGUAAGUCUUGGGCCAUCUAGGGGCGAGCGGAACAAACGGUGGAGCGGUGAAAUGCGUAGAUAUCGUUUGGAACGCCAAUGGUGAAAACAGCUCGCUGGGGAUGUGCCGACGCUGAGACACGAAAGCCAGGGGAGCGAACGGGAUUAGAUACCCCGGUAGUCC
rnacentral:rRNA from 1 species